UACGUAGGGUGCAAGCGUUAAUCGGAAUUACUGGGCGUAAAGCGUGCGCAGGCGGCUAUGCAAGACAGAUGUGAAAUCCCCCGGGCUUAACCUGGGAACUGCAUUUGUGACUGCAUGGCUAGAGUGUGUCAGAGGGGGGUAGAAUUCCACGUGUAGCAGUGAAAUGCGUAGAUAUGUGGAGGAAUACCGAUGGCGAAGGCAGCCCCCUGGGAUAACACUGACGCCUCAUGCACGAAAGCGUGGGGAGCAAACAGG
rnacentral:rRNA from 1 species